GUUCUUGUAGUUGAAUUACAACGGUGGUUUUUCAAAUCAUUAGUCUUGGUUAGACUCCGAGCAAGAAUU
rnacentral:tRNA from 1 species